CGUCUAUAUACGUAUAGCAUAUCAAUAAGCGGAGGAAAAGAAACUAACAAGGAUUCCCUUAGUAACGGCGAGUGAAGCGGGAAGAGCUCAAAUUUGAAAUCUUCAAGGUUCUACCUUAACGAAUUGUAGUUUAUAAGAAGUGUUUUCUGUUAGUAGAGUGGCAAAAGUUCUUUGGAAUAGGACAUCAUAGAGGGUGAGAAUCCCGUAUUUGGUCAUUCCUUCUAGCUUUGUGAUACACUUUCAACGAGUCGGAUUGUUUGGGAAUGCAGUCCAAAAUGGGUGGUAAAUUUCAUCUAAAGCUAAAUAUUGGCGAGAGACCGAUAGCGAACAAGUACCGUGAGGGAAAGAUGAAAAGAACUUUGAAAAGAGAGUUAAACAGUACGUGAAAUUGUCAAAAGGGAAGCGUUUGACACCAGUGUUGUUUUUCCGAAAAUCAAUUAAGAAUGUUUUAUUUUUGAGGAGUUAUGACUUCAUCGGCUUGCUCCUUUCUUUAUGGAAACUUUCUUAAUGCACUUUUCGGUUAACAAGUCAACAUCAAUUUCUUUUGUUGUAUAAGAGUAUGAGGAAGGUGGCUUUCUUUUCGGAGAAAGUGUUUAUAGCCUUGUACUUCUGCAAUCGGAGAGAUUGAGGUCUGCAGCGUAGAUCCUUCGGGGUUAGAUACACUUGUGCUAAGUUAUAGCUCUUCAUAGACAACUUGUUGAUUAUGUUAAGUCUUGUAGCUUACUCGCUUAUGCUAUUUUACCUACGCUUAGGAUGUUGACACACGCGCGUGCUCG
rnacentral:rRNA from 1 species